UCCGGUUCUUCACCAGCAGUCCCCCUGGAGUCCCCGCCAUUACGCGUUGGCAACUAGGGGCAAGGGUUGCGCUCGUUACGGGACUUAACCCAACAUCUCACGACACGAGCUGACGACAGCCAUGCACCACCUGUGCACAGGCCCCGAAGGGCUGCCGUAUUUCUACGACAUUCCUGUGCAUGUCAAGCCUUGGUAAGGUUCUUCGCGUCGCGCCGAAUUAAACCACAUGCUCCGCUGCUUGUGCGGGCCCCCGUCAAUUCCUUUGAGUUUCAGCCUUGCGGCCGUACUCCCCAGGCGGGGUGCUUAAUGCGUUAGCUUCGGCACGGAAGGGGUCGAUAUCCCCCCACACCUAGCACCCAUCGUUUACGGCUGGGACUAC
rnacentral:misc_RNA from 1 species